rnacentral:snRNA from 1 species
GUACCUUUCUCGGCCUUUUGGCUAAGAUUAAAUGUAGUAUCUGUUUUUAUCAGUUUAAUAUCUGAUAAAGGGCCAUGAGCCUAUGAUGAUAUUAAAUUUAUUUUUCAUUAUGGGGGAGGGUUCAUUAUAGUGGCUUGCCAUUGGAACCCUCAUGUGUCGCUCAAGCGUUGCACUAUAGCAUGAGCUUGGCGCACCCCAA